GGUAACCACUGAGUCAUGGCCUGAACCACUAAUUGAGCACCUGGGAAAAGGGCCCAGUUAGCCCUGGGGGCACAGGUGAAAGCAAUGUGACCUGUGUGAAUGGAAGAGGUGGAGCCUCCACCUCUCUUAGACCUCAUUUAAGGGCUGACUGCCACUGGGGAAGGAUCUCUGGUUGGAGAUUCCUCUCAUGGGGAGUUUCCCUUGCAAGCCUACAUCUUCAGAGACAGGUCCUGCAGUCCACUGAUCACUGGGGAGGGAAUAUCAGUUUGUGUCCUGCUCAGGAAUUGUAUCUGCACUGAAAUAGAAGAGAAAACCUUAGAAACCUUGUUGGUGUUUGAUGCUACUGAUGUUUGUCACUAAAUGUGGGAUAUGUAGGUAUUCGAGGCCAGGUUGGAUGGGGGCCUUGGGCAACCUGAUCUGGUGCCUGAUUUUGUG
ensembl:lncRNA